rnacentral:rRNA from 1 species
ACGGAAGGCAGCAGUGGGGAAUAUUGGGCAAUGGGCGAAAGCCUGACCCAGCGACGCCGCGUGAGGGAAGAAGAUCUUCGGAUUGUAAACUUCUGUUCUUAGUGAAGAUAAUGACGGUAGCUAAGGAGCAAGCCACGGCUAACUACGUGCCAGCAGCCGCGGUAAUACGUAGGUGGCAAGCGUUGUCCGGAAUUACUGGGUGUAAAGGGAGCGCAGGCGGGAAAUCAAGUUGGAUGUGAAAUGUCGGGGCUUAACCCCGGAACUGCAUCCAAUACUGAUUUUCUUGAGUGAAGUAGAGGUAGGCGGAACUCCGAGUGUAGCGGUGAAAUGCGUAGAUAUUCGGAGGAACACCAGUGGCGAAGGCGGCCUACUGGGCUUUAACUGACGCUGAGGCUCGAAAGUGUGGGGAGCAAACAGGAUUAGAUACCCUGGUA